rnacentral:misc_RNA from 1 species
GAUGAAGAACGCAGCGAAAUGCGAUACGUAAUGUGAAUUGCAGAAUUCAGUGAAUCAUCGAGUCUUUGAACGCACAUUGCGCCCCCUGGUAUUCCGGGGGGCAUGCCUGUCCGAGCGUCAUUGCUGCCCUCAAGCACGGCUUGUGUGUUGGGCCUCCGUCCUCCUCCCGGGGGACGGGCCCGAAAGGCAGCGGCGGCACCGCGUCCGGUCCUCGAGCGUAUGGGGCUUCGUCACCCGCUCUUGUAGGCCCGGCCGGCGCUUGCCGACACAUCAAUUUUUUUUCCAGGUUGACCUCGGAUCAGGUAGGGAUACCCGCUGAACUUAAGCAUAUCAAUAAGCGGAGGA